rnacentral:rRNA from 1 species
AUGCACGCUGGCGGCGUGCCUAAUCCAUGCAAGUCGAGCGAACAGACGAGGAGCUUGCUCCUCUGACGUUAGCGGCGGACGGGUGAGUAACACGUGGAUAACCUACCUAUAAGACUGGGAUAACUUCGGGAAACCGGAGCUAAUACCGGAUAAUAUAUUGAACCGCCUGGUUCAAUAGUGAAAGACGGUUUUGCUGUCACUUAUAGAUGGAUCCGCGCCGCAUUAGCUAGUUGGUAAGGUAACGGCUUACCAAGGCGACGAUGCGUAGCCGACCUGAGAGGGUGAUCGGCCACACUGGAACUGAGACACGGUCCAGACUCCUACGGGAGGCAGCAGUAGGGAAUCUUCCGCAAUGGGCGAAAGCCUGACGGAGCAACGCCGCGUGAGUGAUGAAGGUCUUCGGAUCGUAAAACUCUGUUAUUAGGGAAGAACAAAUGUGUAAGUAACUAUGCACGUCUUGACGGUACCUAAUCAGAAAGCCACGGCUAACUACGUG